CGCGGGGACCCUCACCAGGCCCCAGACAUUGUUAUGAUUGACAAGAUUAAGAGUUCUUUCUCGAUUCUAUGGGUGGUGGUGCAUGCCCGUUCUUAGUCGGUGAGGUGACUAGUCUGGUUAAUUCCGACAACGGACGAGACCUCGACCUGGCUAGAUUAACAACGUUCAUUCUGAUGGAUAUUUGUUACUUAGAGGGACACUGUGUUUAAACGCAGGGAAGUCCGAGCCUAUAACAGGUCUGUGAUGCCCUUAGAUGGCAUGGGCUGCACGUGCGCUACAAUGGAUAAAAUAGCAAGAAUCCCUCUCCGACAGGAGCAGGAAAUCUUUUGAAAUUUAUCCGUAAUUGGGAUCGAUCAUUGCAAUUAUUGAUCGUGAACGAGGAAUUCCUAGUAAGGACAAGUCAUCACCUUGUGCUGAUUAUGUCCCUGCCCUUUGUACACACCGCCCGUCGCUUCAACCGAUUGGAUGAUCCGGCAAAGUGGACGGACAGGCGUACCAGUUUGCUAGUCAAAUUGGCACCGUUGGAAGUACCCCUGAGCCUUAUCAUCUAGAGGAUGAAGAAGUCGUAACACGGUAUCCGUAG
rnacentral:rRNA from 1 species